GACGAACGCUGGCGGCGUGCUUAACACAUGCAAGUCGAACGGAAAGGCCCUGCUUUUGCGGGGUGCUCGAGUGGCGAACGGGUGAGUAACACGUGAGUAACCUGCCCUUGACUUUGGGAUAACUUCAGGAAACUGGGGCUAAUACCGGAUAGGAGCUCCUGCUGCAUGAUGGGGGUUGGAAAGUUUCGGCGGUUGGGGAUGGACUCGCGGCUUAUCAGCUUGUUGGUGGGGUAGUGGCUUACCAAGGCUUUGACGGGUAGCCGGCCUGAGAGGGUGACCGGCCACAUUGGGACUGAGAUACGGCCCAGACUCCUACGGGAGGCAGCAGUGGGGAAUAGUGCACAAUGGGCGGAAGCCUGAUGCAGCAACGCCGCGUGCGGGAUGACGGCCUUCGGGUUGUAAACCGCUUUCGCCUGUGACGAAGCGUGAGUGACGGUAAUGGGUAAAGAAGCACCGGCUAACUACGUG
rnacentral:rRNA from 1 species